rnacentral:rRNA from 1 species
GAGUCUUAAUUGGGCGUUAAGUUGCAGGGUAUAGACCCGAAACCCGGUGAUCUAGCCAUGGGCAGGUUGAAGGUUGGGUAACACUAACUGGAGGACCGAACCGACUAAUGUUGAAAAAUUAGCGGAUGACCUGUGGCUGGGGGUGAAAGGCCAAUCAAACCGGGAGAUAGCUGGUUCUCCCCGAAAGCUAUUUAGGUAGCGCCUCGUGAAUUCAUCUCCGGGGGUAGAGCACUGUUUCGGCUAGGGGGCCAUCCCGGCUUACCAACCCGAUGCAAACUGCGAAUACCGGAGAAUGUUAUCACGGGAGACACACGGCGGGUGCUAACGUCCGUCGUGAAGAGGGAAACAACCCAGACCGCCAGCUAAGGUCCCAAAGUCAUGGUUAAGUGGGAAACGAUGUGGGAAGGCCCAGACAGCCAGGAUGUUGGCUUAGAAGCAGCCAUCAUUUAAAGAAAGCGUAAUAGCUCACUGGUCGAGUCGGCCUGCGCGGAAGAUGUAACGGGGCUAAACCAUGCACCGAAGCUGCGGCAGCGACACUGUGUGUUGUUGGGUAGGGGAGCGUUCUGUAAGCCUGUGAAGGUGUGUCGUGAGGC